rnacentral:rRNA from 1 species
UACGUAGGGUGCGAGCGUUGUCGGAAUUACUGGGCGUAAAGAGCUCGUAGGUGGUUUGUCGCGUCGUCUGUGAAAUUCCGGGGCUUAACUUCGGGCGUGCAGGCGAUACGGGCAUAACUUGAGUGCUGUAGGGGAGGACUGGAAUUCCUGGUUGUGAGCGGUGGGAAUACGCAGAUAUCAGGAGGAACACCGAUGGCGAAGGCAGGUCUCUGGGCAGUAACUGACGCUGAGGAGCGAAAGCAUGGGGAGCGAACAGGAUUAGAUACCCGCGUAGUCC